UUUUUUUUUAGACAGGGUCUCACCAUGUUGCCCAGGCUGGAGUGCAGUGGCACAAUCACAGCUCACUGCAGCCUCGACCUCCUGGGCUUGAGCGAUCUUGCUGCCUCAGCCUCCUGAGUAACUGGGACUACAUGAGUAGCUGGGACUACAGGAAACUUGUCUGAAGAAGAGGGCGGUCCUGAGGCCACUGAGGAGGUUGGAGGCUGGGGCUUCUCUGCAUUGAAAUGUCCCUGGUAGAGAAGGCAAAAGAAAAGCUUUUGAAGAGUGUCUUGAAGUGAAG
rnacentral:lncRNA from 1 species